rnacentral:rRNA from 1 species
UACGUAGGGAGCGAGCGUUGUCCGGAUUCAUUGGGCGUAAAGAGCUCGUAGGUGGUUUGUCGCGUUGUUCGUGAAAACUCACAGCUUAACUGUGGGCGUGCGGGCGAUACGGGCAGACUGGAGUACUGCAGGGGAGACUGGAAUUCCUGGUGUAGCGGUGGAAUGCGCAGAUAUCAGGAGGAACACCGGUGGCGAAGGCGGGUCUCUGGGCAGUAACUGACGCUGAGGAGCGAAAGCGUGGGGAGCGAACAGG